AAUCAACGCUGGCGGCGUGCCUCAGACAUGCAAGUCGAACGCGAAAUUCCCUUUCGGGGGGAGAGUAGAGUGGCGCACGGGUGAGUAACACGUAGGUAAUCUACCUCUGGGUGGGGAAUAACAGCCGGAAACGGCUGCUAAUACCGCAUAAUGCAGCGGCAUCAAAUGAUGACAGUUGUUAAAGCGGGGGAUCCUGAAAGGGACCUCGCGCCUGAAGAGGAGCCUGCGGCAGAUUAGCUAGUUGGUAAGGUAACGGCUUACCAAGGCGACGAUCUGUAGCCGGCCUGAGAGGGCGGUCGGCCACACUGACACUGACAUACGGGUCAGACUCCUACGGGAGGCAGCAGUCGGGAAUUUUGGGCAAUGGGCGAAAGCCUGACCCAGCAACGCCGCGUGAAGGAUGAAAUCCCUCGGGAUGUAAACUUCGCAAGAAUAGGAAGAAUAAGGAGGGGUUAAUAACCUUUUGAUGACGGUACUAUUUGUAAGCUCCGGCUAACUCCGUGCCAGCA
rnacentral:rRNA from 1 species